rnacentral:rRNA from 1 species
GACGAGGGGUCCUAGCGUUGUUCGGAAUCACUGGGCGUAAAGCGUAUGUAGGCGGCUCUAUAAGUCAGAUGUGAAAUCCCUUGGCUCAACCAAGGAAUUGCAUUUGAAACUGCAGAGCUUGAGUAUCGGAGAGGGUGGCAGAAUUCCUGGUGUAGUGGUGAAAUACGUAGAUAUCAGGAGGAACACCGGUGGCGAAGGCGGCUACCUGGCCGAAUACUGACGCUGGAGAAUACGAAAGUGCGGGGAUCAAACAGG